CCACCAUCUAUUAGCAUAUAAUACAAACCUAAUUGAUGUCCAACAUCUAACUCGCACGUGUUUCCACUUCCUUUCUGGUCCCCUUGCUCGCCUUAAGGACUAAGCAAUGCUUCUCUCUCUCUCUCUCGCCCGCUACCAUACCCCACGCUCAAAGCCUCUACUUCCAGCUUAAUAUAUAAAUUGGUGCUUGGAGGGACAAACCAUCGAUAUGCGGCUUGAAAGAAAGAAGAGACUACUGGUGCCUCCAUUAAUUCCGGUGCUUUAUUCCUUUUGUCGUCAUUACUUUGGGAUCAAUCAAUCAAUCCUGUGGAACUCUUGUCGUACCAAAAUCAGCGGCGAAGACAGUAGUGGAGAGCUAAUAACCAUCGUUCCACGUCUGAUCUGCCCACCAGGCUCCAUCCCGCUCCGACAUGCCCUCUUCUUCUCCUCGCCCACUCGUCCGUGCUGUUCCCCCUUUGCAUUCCCCAGCCGCAUCACAAGCUCUCCGGCCUCUCAAUAGACUCCUCCCCCUCCUCCUCUUCCCAAAACGCUAGUGCGAUUCUCUUCACAGUUUUCUUUGUUUCUUUCUUUCUUUCUUCUACCACCAAUGGCAACCAUGGACCUCAGCUCUAAGCUGGUCGCUGGCGAUAGCCUCGACUGGUCGCAGGAUGGAGGUUUGGAGAUGCGGAAGCCAGGAAGUGAAGGUAAAGCCCUGGAGCAGCAGCAGCAGUGGCAAAAGGCGGCGCCGUUGAGGUGCCCGAGGUGCGAGUCCGCCAACACCAAGUUCUGCUACUACAACAACUACAGCAAGUCGCAGCCGCGGCACUUCUGCCGGGCCUGCCGCAGGCACUGGACCGAGGGCGGCACCCUUCGCAACGUCCCCGUCGGCGGCGGCCGCAAGAACAAGCGUGUCAAGACCGCGCACGACGCGUCCCCCUCGAUGGAUAACAACGGUUUGGCUCACGGCCAGCAACGGAAGCAAAUGGCACCGUUUGAUGAUGGGGACGGCCAAGGCGGCAUCUUUCCCGGGAUUCUUCGCCCGGUGCUGCUCCACCCGCCACCGCCACUGCCGCUGGACUAUGGCAUGGAUGGCGGCGGCGGCUUUGCCGGGCCGGUGCUGUCGUCUAUACCGCCGUUCCUGCCGGAAGCCGCCACGGGAGAAGCGGACUUUUUGAGCUCUUCUGCCAACGCCACCAAUCCUUUAUCUUCCAUCUCUUCUUCUUCCUGCUCGUCCCCCUACGACUACACGAGAUUGGAUCCCAUUGUUGGUGAAGAUGGCUUCGCCGCAUGGCAGGCUCCAACGAGCCAUUUGAGUUGUUGGGACGACAUAACGGACCUUGUCAACGCCGAGGAUUCUUUUCUGAGUACGUACCCAACCAUGAAGGGAGAGGUAUGAACGAGGAGCAUGUCAGUGUUAUCAAAUUAACUCGUAGACCUGUCAAUUUACUACUGGGCUUCUCGAGAUUGCUGGUCAGGAAACAAGGGUAAAGAGAGAAGGGAGAGAAAGGGAAAAGAACAUGGUAUUCUCCUUCUGCUCCGAAUUGUCUUUGAAUUUUUAUACAAAGCCUGACAAAUAUGAAUCAACGUGCGGUUCUUGGGCUGGACUCCAGCUCUCACAAAUACGUUGAGCAAAUGGAGCAACUAAAUAAACCUCACGGAAUAUUACAAUCCUCAAACCAUAUAUCCAUCUAUACACAAAACUACUGCAGCUGUCGAAUUAACUUUGCAACCACAGCACAGGUCUCUGAUAUCAUUGCAAGUGACAAUGACCAUUCCCCAGGCUGACCUGCUCGGCAUCCGCAUAACCUCAUUGAAAAAUUCGCCGUUGCUUUGAGGGCUAUUGUUGGUCAGCUUCUCUUCAGGCCAAGUUGCAGAAGCCCUAUCACUAAAGUUGUUACUGUUCGCAUCAAGGGUGAUACUGUUCAGGGAGCUACCAUUGCACUCAUACACAGGCAGGAAUGGGCUCCCGUAUUCAUUGGUCCCAGCUAGCACCCCUGGGCCAGCCUUCGACACUCCAUCCGGACCAUUUUGGUUGUGGCUAUUAACUCGAGACAGCCGUCCUGUGCUGGUGCCUGGCCAUGUCACCGCCACCGUCACAUCCUGACAGUUGAAGUGUUCAUAUGAUUGUGUGACACCAACAACACCUUUGCUUCUACUUGGCUGGGUAUCAGCAUCAUAUCUCCAAACAUAAACGUGGGAGUCCUCGCUAGCACAGACCACAUACUUCCCAUUUGCAGCUAAGGAGGCUGAGAUCUGGCUACUUGUGUUGCGGAAGCCUGAAAGAGAAGCACCAAUAUCACAUCAAACCAGUUUAUCAUGCAAUAAUAUCAGCCUAUGUAGAAAUCAGUUUAUCCAGUGACCCCAGAAAUUGAGCUGACAUACCUGGCUUGCAAAAACAAAUUCACACACAAUAAUUAACUAUCAAGAUGAGCAAAGUCACAAAAUCAAAAGAUUCAAGUUCAAUUUAAUGGAUGUACAAACUAAAAAUAUCAAUGCCGUUGAUGGUGGCAUAAUUCCUAAAA